AGAUUGAACGCUGGCGGUAUGCUUAACACAUGCAAGUCGAACGCGAAAGUACCCUUCGGGGUGCGAGUAGAGUGGCGGACGGGUGAGUAACGCGUAGGAAUCUGCCUAGUAGUGGGGGACAACCUGGUGAAAACCAGGCUAAUACCGCAUACGCCCUACGGGGGAAAGGAUGGGAUCUUCGGACCAUUCGCUAUUAGAUGGGCCUGCGUCGGAUUAGCUAGUUGGUGAGGUAAUGGCUCACCAAGGCGACGAUCCGUAGCUGGUUUGAGAGAACGACCAGCCACACUGGGACUGAGACACGGCCCAGACUCCUACGGGAGGCAGCAGUGGGGAAUAUUGGACGAUGGGGGAAACCCUGAUCCAGCAAUACCGCGUGUGUGAAGAAGGCCUGAGGGUUGUAAAGCACUUUCAAUUGUGAAGAAAAGCUUAAGGUUAAUAGCCUUGAGUCUUGACGUUAACUUUAGAAGAAGCACCGGCUAACUCCGUGCCAGCAGCCGCGGUAAUACGGAGGGUGCGAGCGUUAAUCGGAAUUACUGGGCGUAAAGCGCGCGUAGGCGGUUUAGUCAGUCAGAUGUGAAAGCCCCGGGCUCAACCUGGGAACUGCAUUUGAUACUGCUAAGCUAGAGUAUGGUAGAGGUAAGUGGAAUUCCAGGUGUAGCGGUGAAAUGCGUAGAGAUCUGGAGGAACAUCAGUGGCGAAGGCGGCUUACUGGACCAAUACUGACGCUGAGGUGCGAAAGCGUGGGUAGCAAACAGGAUUAGAUACCCUGGUAGUCCACGCUGUAAACGAUGUCAACUAGCCGUUGGAUCCAUUUAAGGAUUUAGUGGCGCA
rnacentral:rRNA from 1 species